rnacentral:rRNA from 1 species
AUUGAACGCUGGCGGCAGGCCUAACACAUGCAAGUCGAACGGUAACAGGAAGACGCUUGCUUCUUUGCUGACGAGUGGCGGACGGGUGAGUAAUGUCUGGGAAACUGCCUGAUGGAGGGGGAUAACUACUGGAAACGGUAGCUAAUACCGCAUAACGUCGCAAGACCAAAGAGGGGGACCUUCGGGCCUCUUGCCAUCGGAUGUGCCCAGAUGGGAUUAGCUAGUAGGUGGGGUAACGGCUCACCUAGGCGACGAUCCCUAGCUGGUCUGAGAGGAUGACCGGCCAUACUGUAACUGAGCCACGGUCCAGACUCCUACGGGAGGCAGCAGUGGGGAAUAUUGCGCAAUGGGCGCAAGCCUGAUGCAGCCAUGCCGCGUGUAUGAAGAAGGCCUUCGGGUUGUAAAGUACUUUCAGCGGGGAGGAAGGGAGUAAAGUUAAUACCUAUGCUCAUUGACGUUACCCGCAGAAGAAGCACCGGCUAACUCCGUG